GGGGUAAUUUCUUCUAAAGCUAAAUACUGGCCAGAGACCGAUAGCGCACAAGUAGAGUGAUCCGAAAGAUGAAAAGCACUUUGGAAAGAGAGUCAAAAAGUACGUGAAAUUGUUGAAAGGGAAGCGCUUGCAACCAGACCUGCCCGUAGUUGCUCAUCCAGGCUUCUGCCUGGUGCACUCUUCUGCGGUCAGGCCAGCAUCAGUUCUGGCGGUCGGAUAAAGGCGGCGGGAAUGUAGCUCCUCUCGGGGAGUGUUAUAGCCCGCCGUGUCAUGCGGCCAGCCGGGACUGAGGUCCGCGCUUCGGCUAGGAUGCUGGCGUAAUGGUUGUAAGCGGCCCGUCUUGAAACACGGGAC
rnacentral:sRNA from 1 species